rnacentral:rRNA from 1 species
GACAGAGGGUGCAAACGUUGUUCGGAAUUACUGGGCGUAAAGCGCGUGUAGGCGGCUAAGUAAGUCGGGCGUGAAAUCCCACGGCUCAACCGUGGAAGUGCACUCGAAACUGCAUAGCUAGAGUCCUGGAGAGGAAGGUGGAAUGCUUGGUGUAGAGGUGAAAUGCGCAGAUAUCAGGAAGAACACCCGUGGCGAAGGCGGCUCUCUGGGACGGUACUGACGCUGAGACGCGAAAGCGUGGGGAGCGAACAGG